ensembl:lncRNA
AGCUCAGGGAUAGGAUUGUGACCCAAUCAAAGCUAAUGAGAUGCAUUGGGACUCUCUGGGACUACUGGGAGUGAGGCUGAAACUCAUUUUCACCUGACUUCAGUCAAGGAACACCUGAACCUAGAGCUACAACCCCACACGGUGGGGGUGGGGAGGCUAUCAGAGGCAGCGCCAAUGUUCAAGAAGUAAAAGAGGGAAGGAGAGACAGCCUUGCCUAGUAAUAUAAUACCUUGAUCAGCUCCCUCUUGGACUACUACGUUAAGUGAACUAAGAUUUCUCUGUCUCUUUUUUUAAAGAUUUUAUUUUUCCUUUUUCUCCCCAAAGUCCUCCAGUACAUAGUUGUGUAUUUUUAGUUGUGGGUCCUUCUAGCUGUGGCAUGUGGGACACUGCCUCAGCAUGGCUUGAUGAGCGGUGCCAUGUCCACGCCCAGGAUUUGAACUGGUGAAACCCUGGCCUGCCGAAGCAGAGCGCAAGAACUUAACCACUUGGCCAUGGGGCCAGCCCCUAAGAUUUCUCUUUUGCUUGAUCUGGUUUGGGUUGGCCUCUUCUUAUGCCUCCUUGGCUUCCAGGAGAGCAAUUAAAGAGCUUUUCCUCUAGCUUCACUGAAGAAGAUUAAGCUGGGUAAUCCCAGAGAGGAUGGAGAUAGUAGGCUGCAUUCCCAAAAGGUACAGCACUUCAUAUUUACAGCAGCAAGGUUUUGACUCAUAAAGAAAGAGUGACAUGCAAGGCCAACGACAGAAUAUACCUUCUCUAAGGCCUGUAAAGCCAUUCCCACUGGACAGAGGCAAGAUUGUUAAGAUUCCAUGCAAAGUGACCAUCAGCUGGCAGGGUCUAUACCAGAGGGCAUCAGAGAAAGAAAGAAAAAACUGGUCUCUGAGGUGUGAACAGUUCAAAAACAGUAAAUAAAUGGAGAGUGAAGUGGGAUUAUUUUUAUUAACUUUCAAACUCAAAGACCUUUAUCAAAAUCAGAUCUUAUAGAAGAGGGAGUAGGGACACUUGGCCGGAUGCCUCUUCCACAACCCUCAUCCCUCACCUUCAAGGUAAACAAGGAAGAAGGAAAAAGAAAUAGCAAAGAGGGAGAGAGAAAAACCGACUUUCCUUCAGCGAGGACCACGCUCCUCUCAGAAAGGGGCCAGGCUUUCAAGGGCCUCUGAUGCAGGAAGGUAGAGGGUAGCUCGGUCUCCUGCAAAUGCAGUCCACUCUCUCAAGCUGAGAUGACAUCUGAGGACAAACCAGAGGCAAUAAGUGGAGGAGCUAGCUUCAGAGUGAUUACUUCUCAAGCUGGAGGUGUGUUUUUGGAUGCUUCAGAGAAACUCUCCAAAUCUUAUUUUCCUAUUUUGAAAAAUGAGGGAGGGGUUUGGAAUUUGGAUGUGUAAGGCCACUUCCAACUCUAAGAUUCUAUCAUUCCAAUUAUAAAAUGUUGCUAAUUUUCUAUUAAUUUUGUCUCACCUUCAAUUGAUAUCCAUGAAAAUGUAGAAAGAUCAUAAAAUUUGUAGUCAAGUCUUGGGUUCAAGUCCCAACCACAAGCUACGUAAUCUCGGACAAGCUCCUUGGUUUACUCUGAGCCUUUAUCCUUAUCUGCAAAACUGAGAAAAUAAGCCUCACAGUGUGGUUGCAAGAGUCAAGUGAGGGGGUAUCUGUGAGAGCACUUAUAAACUCUAAGGUGUUAAAACAAGUGUACUACAGCAUUCUUAUUAAAUCUGAGCCACUCAUUUCCAUUUCUUUGCUCUAUUUAAACCUCACUAAUUAAAUAUGUAAAUGAUUUAUCCCACAGACAUUGACAGUGUCUCCUGUUUUAGGCACUAGAGAUACUUUAUAGUGAAUAAGACACUGAGGUCACUGACAUCAUGGGACUUGGACUUGAAAAUGUUCUUUUAACAUCUGCAUCAGAUAAGGAAAUCUAGGCAUACACAUAUUUUAGCAAGAUACAUAAAAGGUAAAUCACUGUACCCAGUACUGUAGAGAGAUGAAUUGAGUAACUAUGAACACAGGUCCUGCUAUGGCCCCACGCAUAAGGAGAGGCACUGUUUCAGGUACUGGGAGACUGAACAUCGAACAUUGAACAAGACCAAGCCCCUGGCCUUCUGGAGCUUACAUUCUAUCAGAAAGGUUGAAUCAGUCAGAGUAUUACUAAUUAUAAAUGGAAGACACAGCCAAAGAAAUGUAUGAGGCUGAUGUAAGAGGUAUGAAACAUAGUUCUGGACCCACAGCUUCUGGUCUCUUCUCUUGGACACACUAGGUUUCCCUUCAUCAGAACUGAAGGCAUCAUAAACUCUGACUUGCUUGCCUCAUGUCUCAUUUCUCAUUCUAAUUAUUCAGCUUGGACAAGUUAACAGCCUUUACACCACGUAGUAAGACACGUAGGCAUAGGGGAUAAUCACAGCUAUUUUUCAGCUGUGGUCAGUUGUUAUGGCUUAAUUAGAUUGUAAAACAGGAUUCACAUAGUCUGCAAAGUAUGAUUCAGCUUUACCUUUUUUUCAGGUUCCUUUGAGUCUACGUCGUGACCCACUUAACACAAGGACCCCCACAGCCAGUAACAGACUACCAGCCUCCACCUAACCCCUAAAGUAUUGAUCAUUAUGCAUUCAGCUGUAUAGUCAACAACCGCAGAUUCUCUUCUUUGAGACACGGUGCUAGGUCCUUGCUUCCUGGCAUUUACAAUCACAUUUGAAAACUUAGAAAUGCCAAUAACUCCAAUAUAAGAGUAGGAGCAGAUGCCAUUGACUAAGUGAGAUAUAGGAGCUCCAGGGAAGGAGACAUCAUUUCUGACUCCAGUGACUAGGUGCGAGGAGGAUGCAGCUCUGAUGAGAGCCUGCUUUGUCCUGGGACAGUCCUCGAUAUUUUACAGACUCUGUCACUUGAUGUGGAAGGCUUCAUGAAGGACUUGGAGUCUAAGGCCUUGAGUGAUGGGAAGAAUUAGGAAAGGCAGA